AUGUCACUGACUCUACUGCUGGCCACCCUGGGGCUCCUUGUUCAGGGUUCAUCAGCAGAAAUCGUCCUGACUCAGACUCCUAAAGUUCAGUCUGUUGUUCCUGGACAGACUGUCUCUAUCAGAUGUAAAUCCAGUACAACUAUAGGUGAUGACAUAGACUGGUACCUUCAGAAAUCUGGAAAAGCUCCAAAACUCCUGAUAGCUGAUACUACAGCUCGUCAGUCUGGAGUUCCAGAUCGUUUUCGGGCAACAGCAGUUCAGACUGACUUCACUCUGAUCAUCAGUGGAGUUCAAACUGAAGAUGCAGGAGUUUAUUACUGUCAGCAGCAUAACAGCUUCCCGUUCACACAGUGA